rnacentral:rRNA from 1 species
UACGAAGGGGGCUAGCGUUGUUCGGAAUUACUGGGCGUAAAGGGCUCGUAGGUGGCCAACUAAGUCAGACGUGAAAUCCCUCAGCUUAACUGGGGAACUGCGUCUGAUACUGGAUGGCUUGAGUUUGGGAGAGGGAUGCGGAAUUCCAGGUGUAGCGGUGAAAUGCGUAGAUAUCUGGAGGAACACCGGUGGCGAAGGCGGCAUCCUGGACCAAUACUGACACUGAGGAGCGAAAGCCAGGGGAGCAAACGGG